rnacentral:rRNA from 1 species
UGGGGAAUAUUGCGCAAUGGGCGAAAGCCUGACGCAGCAACGCCGCGUGGGGGAUGACGGCCUUCGGGUUGUAAACCCCUUUCAGCAGGGACGAAAAUGACGGUACCUGCAGAAGAAGCCCCGGCCAACUACGUGCCAGCAGCCGCGGUAACACGUAGGGGGCGAGCGUUGUCCGGAUUUAUUGGGCGUAAAGAGCUCGUAGGCGGUUGCGUAAGUCGGAUGUGAAAACUCAGGGCUCAACCCGGAGACGCCAUUCGAUACUGCGCUGACUAGAGUCCGGUAGAGGAGCAUGGAAUUCCUGGUGUAGCGGUGAAAUGCGCAGAUAUCAGGAGGAACACCAGCGGCGAAGGCGGUGCUCUGGGCCGGUACUGACGCUCAGGAGCGAAAGCGUGGGUAGCGAACAGGAUUAGAUACCCCCGUAGUCC